UAGCAACAGGACAAAACUGCUUGCCAAGACUUAUCGUAUUUUAUCUAGAUGAACGAUUUCUAGGAAUAAAAAGAUGAAUAAGAAUAAAAAUGAUGCAAAAAGUUCCAAAGGGGUCGAGUAUCCAUUAACGGAUGAAAUAGAAAAAUGUCUACAAAAAGUAAAGACGCAAACAAAUGCCGCAAGUGAACAAGCAGAACGCGUCCAACAAAAAGGUGAAGAGCUAUUCCUGAAAAAUCAACAAAUAUCAGAGACACCGACCUGCAAUAAAGGUACAAAUAGUUGUAACCAUUGUUGUUGUCGGCAUCACAAGUGCUGUGUCGUUUCGUAACUAGACAGUGAAGAAUAUCAUCACUAAUAUCUAAAAUGACAUCAAAGCAUGUAAAUGUAACUCGAGUACAUUUUGGAACGAAAAAUUCCUUUAUUUGGAUUUUCAGACUUUUUCAGUGUUGUACAUAAAGUAGUAGGUUAUUAUUCCUGAGCACUUUCCGUAAAAAAAAUCUUAACUGUGUAUAUGGAAUGUCUCUUUGUUAUGUAUAUAGCAUUGCUUGUUUUGAAAUGAAUAAAUAAGUACUCAACUUUGAUUUACUUAUCAUUAAUUCAUUGUUCUAGUCCAAGUAUAUGGUCUAUAUGCAAUGAUUGGUAUCUUUACCAGCAUCUUCAACCCUAAACAAAGUCUACGUUUUGACAUUUUAACUUGUAUUUACC